UACGUAGGUGGCGAGCGUUGUCCGGAUUUACUGGGCGUAAAGGGAGCGUAGGCGGACUUUUAAGUGAGAUGUGAAAUACCCGGGCUCAACUUGGGUGCUGCAUUUCAAACUGGAAGUCUAGAGUGCAGGAGAGGAGAAUGGAAUUCCUAGUGUAGCGGUGAAAUGCGUAGAGAUUGGGAAGAACACCAGUGGCGAAGGCGAUUCUCUGGACUGUAACUGACGCUGAGGCUCGAAAGCGUGGGGAGCAAACAGGAUUAGAUACCCGGGUA
rnacentral:rRNA from 1 species